rnacentral:rRNA from 1 species
GUUGGUUUUACCCGAAGCCGGUGCGCUAACCGCAAGGAGGCAGCCAGCCACGGUGGGAUCAGCGACUGGGGUGAAGUCGUAACAAGGUAGCCGUAGGUGAACCUGCAGAAGGAUCA